GCUAGUGUAGCUUAACGUAAAGCAUAACACGAAGA
rnacentral:tRNA from 1 species